GGAAUAAUGAGUUAAUUACGCUGUCGGGUAAUUUAAGAGAAAUGAAAUUGAAUUUUGCAUAAUCAUGUCUCUGUAUUUCAAUCACUUGAGGUGAUUGAAUUACACUUCAUUUUUAAGGAAAAUGGUCGCUGGGCAGAAUUAGGCAGUUAAUAUACAGGGAUAAGUGCUUUUAAUUUUCUUGAUUUCUAGGGAGAAUUCUAUUCCGUUAUUAUAGUUAAAUCAUUUGAUGGAUCCGCUUUUCUAACGUGAAAUAUUGAAUUACAAUUUGUUCUGAUGAGAGGGCCAUUGUGCAUCUAACAAAAUCCCAAUGGGGAAUUUUCCAACUUUGACUUUUCUCGUUCAUAAAACCUAAAUUAUUGCAUAGAACAUCCGGAUCCAGUCAGUUUACCCUUUUGGUGCCUUCAUUGCUAUAACUUCCUUCUUUUUAUGGAUACAUGGCGAUCAGUCCUUCACUUAGCCCACUUUUUAAGCUGAUUUUUGCAUGAUUGCUUUUGUAAUUUUACAGUUCUCUCAAAACGGUGCAAUCAAACACCAGCAGUUUUGACUUUCUUUUCUUUCUAUCCUGGUACAAU
rnacentral:misc_RNA from 1 species